GAUGAACGCUGGCGGCGUGCCUAAUACAUGCAAGUCGAGCGAACAGACGAGGAGCUUGCUCCUCUGACGUUAGCGGCGGACGGGUGAGUAACACGUGGAUAACCUACCUAUAAGACUGGGAUAACUUCGGGAAACCGGAGCUAGUACCGGAUAAUAUAUUGAACCGCAUGGUUCAAUAGUGAAAGACGGUUUUGCUGUCACUUAUAGAUGGAUCCGCGCCGCGUUAGCUAGUUGGUAAGGUAACGGCUUACCAAGGCAACGAUGCGUAGCCGACCUGAGAGGGUGAUCGGCCACACUGGAACUGAGACACGGUCCAGACUCCUACGGGAGGCAGCAGUAGGGAAUCUUCCGCAAUGGGCGAAAGCCUGACGGAGCAACGCCGCGUGAGUGAUGAAGGUCUUCGGAUCGUAAAACUCUGUUAUUAGGGAAGAACAAAUGUGUAAGUAACUAUGCACGUCUUGACGGUACCUAAUCAGAAAGCCACGGCUAACUACGUG
rnacentral:rRNA from 1 species